rnacentral:rRNA from 1 species
UACGGGGGGGGCAAGCGUUGUUCGGAAUUACUGGGCGUAAAGGGCUCGUAGGUGGCCAACUAAGUCAGACGUGAAAUCCCUCGGCUUAACCGGGGAACUGCGUCUGAUACUGGAUGGCUUGAGUUCGGGAGAGGGAUGCGGAAUUCCAGGUGUAGCGGUGAAAUGCGUAGAUAUCUGGAAGAACACCAGUGGCGAAGGCGCUCUACUGGGCCGUAACUGACACUGAGGGACGAAAGCUAGGGGAGCGAAAGGG